GUUCUGUAUACUGUUUCUGUUGUCUUGGUAGGUGCCAAUGUUGUGCUUGUAGGCUCUUCUGUUGUAGUAGUUGUUUUACCGACUGCUUCUGUUGUUGUGGUUGGGGACAAUGUUGUUGUUCUAGGCUCUGCUGUUAUAGAAGCUGCUGUAGUUGUUUUACCGACUGCUUCUGUUGUUGUGGUUGGGGCCAAUGUUGUGGUUGAAGGCUCUGCUGUUGUUGUAGCUGCUGUAGUUGUUCUGGAUACUGUUUCUAUUGUCAUGGUAGGGUCCAAUGUUGUGGUUGAAGGCUCUUCCGUUGAAGCAGUUGCUUUACCGACUGCUUCUGUUGUUGUGGUUGGGGCCAAUGUUGUGGUUGAAGGCUCUGCUGUUGUAGUAGCUGCUGUAGUUGUUUUACCGACUGCUUCUGUUGUUGUGGUUGGGGCCAAUGUUGUGGUUGAAGCCUCUGCUGUUGUACUAGCAGCUGUAGCUGUGCUGGCUACUGUUUCUGUUUUUUUGGUAGGGGCCAAUGUUGUGCUUUGGGCCAAUGUUGUGGUUGAAGGCUCUUCUGUUGUAGCAGUUGUUUUAGCGACUGCUUCUGUUGUUGUGUUUGGGGCCAAUGUUGUGCUUGUAUGCUCUGCUGUUGUAGUAGCUGCUGUAGUUGUUCUGGCUACUGUUUCUAUUGUCAUGUUAGGGGCCAAUGUUGUAGUUGUAGGCUCUUCUGUUGUAGUAGUUGUUUUAGCUCCUGCGUCUGUUGUUUUGCUAGGGGCCAAUGUUGUGGUUGAAGGCUCUUCUGUUGUAGUAGCUAAUGUAGUUGUUCUGGAUACUGUUUCGGUUGUCGUAGUAGGUGCCAAUGUUGUACUUGUAGGCUCUUGUGUUGUAGUAGUUGUUUUACCGACAGCUUCUGUUGUUGUGGUUUGGACCAAUGUUGUGGUUGUAUGCUCUUCUGUUGUAGUAGUUGUUUUACCGACUGCUUCUGUUGUUGUGGUUUGGACCAGUGUUGAGGUUGUAUGCUCUGCUGUUGUAGUAGUUGUUUUACUGACAUCUUCUGUUGUUGUGUUAGGGGCCAAUGUUGUGCUUGUAUGCUCUGCUGUUGUAGUAGCUGAUGUAGUUGUUCUGGUGACUGUUUCUGUUGUUGUGGUAGGGGCCAAUGUAGUUGUUUUAGCGAAAGCCUCUUUUGUAGUUGUUUUACCGACUGCUUCUGUUGUUUUGGUUUGGACCAAUGUUGUGCUUGAAGGCUCUUCUGUUGUAGUAGUUGUUCUACUGACUGCAUCUGUUGUUGUGGUUGGGGCCAAUGUUGUGGUUGAAGGCUCUGCUGUUGUAGUAGCUGCUGUAGUUGUAUUACUGACUGCUUCUUUUGUUGUGGUUUGGGCCAAUGUUGUGAUUGUAGGCUCUGCUGUUGAAGUAGCAGCUGUAGUUGUUUUACCGACUGCUUCUGUUGUUGUGGUUGGGGCCAAUGUUGUGGUUGAAGGCUCUGCUGUUGUAGUAGCUGCUGUAGUUGUUUUACCGACUGCUUCUGUUGUGCUUUGGGCCAAUGUUGUGGUUGAAGGCUCUGCUGUUGUAGUAGCUGCUGUAGUUGUGCUGGCUACUGUUUCUAUUGUCAUGAUAGGGGCCAAUGUUGUGGUUGUAGGCUCUUCUGUUGUAGCAGUUGUUUUACCGACUGCUUCUGUUUUUGUGGUUGGGGCUAAUGUUGUGGUUGUAGGCUCUUCUGUUGUAGUAGUUGUUUUAACAACUGCCAGAACAAUCGCCAGAACAGUCGCCAGACAAACUACAUUAUCUACUGUUGUUGUGGUUGGGGCCAAUGUUGCGGUUCUGGGCUCUUCUGUUGUAGUAGCUGCUGUAGUUGUUCUGGUGACUGUUUCUGUUGUUGUGGUAGGGCCCAAUGUAUUUGUUUUAGCGAAAGCCUCUUUUGUUGUUGUUUUACCGACUGCUUCUGUUGUUGUGGUUGGGGCCAAUGUUGUGUUUGUAUGCUCUGCUGUUGUAGUAGCUGCUGUAGUUAUUCUGGUCACUGUUUCUGUUGUUGUGGUAGGGGCCAAUGUAUUUGUUUUAGCGAAAGCCUCUUUUGUUGUGGUAGGGGACAAUGUUGUGCUUUUAGGCUCUUCUUUUAUCAUAGCUGCUGUUGUUGUGUUUAGGGCCAAUGUUGUGGUUCUAGGCUCUGCUGUUCUAAAUGCUGCUGUUGUUGUUUUACCUACUGCUUCUGUUGUUGUGGUUGGGGCCAAUGUUGUGCUUGUAUGCUCUGCUGUUGUAGUAGCUGCUGUUGUUGUGGUUGGGGCCAAUGUUGUGCUUGUAUGCUCUUCUGUUGUAGUAGUUGUUUUACCGACUGCUUCUGUUGUUGUGGUUGGGGCCAAUGUUGUGGUUCUAGGCUCUGCUGCUGUAGUAGCUUCUGCCAGAACAACCGCCAG
rnacentral:lncRNA from 1 species